UCCUCGAGGAUGGGUCGGUAAAACUGGGCCAGCUGGAUGUCCCGAAGCAGCCGAAGCAGCCACAGCGAACCCACCUCGGGGAGCAUGUCUGCACAAGGGAUCCCUGAGGAUAACGCACCCACCUCAACACAUAGCCCAGGUCUCUGUACACCGGCUACCUGAAUGGUGCCACAGGACGAAGUCUAGAACCUCGGAGAAGGCUCUGAGGAGGAGCAUCCCUCAUCUCCCUUUCCCUCAGGGGUUCCAGGGAGGAAGUCACAAGUCUCAGGACAUCUGGCCUGUCUCCUUCUGUUCUGAGGAAGGAUGUGUGAGCUAUCCCCAGAGUCCCUUCAGGGAAACAUCUACCCCAUCUUGAUUUUAUUUAUUUACUGGAGAGAGAGAGAGCACAAGCAGGCGGAGCAGGAGAGGGAGAAGCAGGCUCCCCAUCAGCAGGGAGCCGGACGCGGGGCUCAAUCCCAGGACCACAGGAUCAUGACCUGAGCCAAAGGCAGACGCCCAACCCCUGAGCCACCCAGGCACCCCUCAUCCUUGUGUUCUUAGUACCUGGAACAGUGUAGGCAUGUAACAGAGAGAGAGUGAGCCCGAGCGGGAAGGGCAGAGGGAGAGGGAGAAGCAGGCUCCCUGCUGAGCAGCGAGGCCGAUGUGCGACUUGACCCCAGGACCCUGAGAUCAUGACCUGAGCUAAAGGCGGAUGCCUAACCGACUGAGCCACCCAGGCGCCCACGGAGGGAAGAUUUUUAAGGAAACACCACCAACCUGGUGUAACAGGUUCGGCACCGUCACAAGCAUCAUCCGUGAACUAUUUGGACCUCACCGUAAUCCUGUGAAGUGCUGCGACGCUUCACCGAAGUUAAGAGAUCACCAAUGGUAAUAUAGAAGAGUACGCGCCCCGACGCGUCUUCGAUUUCAGAGCUGUUAAAAUGUAAACAGGAGAAAAAAAAAAAGCCAUCGAAUCAAUGAACUACAUGAUUUGCAUUUCAAAUGCGAGGAAAAGGGAAUGGAGAAGUUACAGGAACUUGCCCGAAGUCCAGUGAGACACAGAGCCAGGAUUGGAAACCCUGGCAGCCCGACUACAAAGCCCAAGUUCUGAAGAACCAUCAUUUGACGCCGGACGGGACAUCGUCCACAGCGUGGAGUUUCGCGAAGACCACGGAGGACUCACUCCACCACGAGGCUCAUAACACCCAGCAGCAGGGCAGCUGCCAAGACAGAGAGGAGCAGAAUCUUGGCUUCCCGAAGAUCGUGACUUCCUGCAGGGAACCCAGGAAGCAGACACCCCGUAAUACUGCCCCCUCCCCCAAUCCAGCCACAGAAGGGAUAAUGCCUGGUGCUACAUGGGGGCGUCCAAGAUGCCUUUGUGAUGGGCCCUGCCUUCCCGUUGGUAAAGAUUCAGACACAUCGUCGGAUGUCUGCACUCACUUGCUGGGGGACACGACCUCAAAGCAAAACCGCCUCUCUAAGUCCGGGCAGAGCUUCACUGUGCAGAGGCGAAGGUCAUCCACCACCACGGUCACGGGGUCCUGGAAAGGGAAGGUGGCGAGGGGCAGCCAUCCACCCGCUUGCAGCAAGGGCUGAGUGUCCCUGGGCCCCGGCAUCUGGGACCCGGCCUGCCUACCUUGUACUUCUUCUGAUACACCAGUUGGUUGCUCUGAAUAGUGAACCAGCGUCUGGAGGAGGCAGAAACAGAGGUGUGGACAUGGGUGGCAUCGGGACGGGCUUGGGACAGGGACAGCGGAGAGGCUGUGCCCUCUGCCCCAUAAGGAUGGUGCUCAGAGAGCCGGGCUGACCCUCCCAUCCUGUCCGGAGGGCACAGGGUUGUGUGGGGCCAGGACACGGAAGGCGGGGCUACUCACACCUUGGACAACCCAGAUUGGAUCCUUUGUGAAGACAACUUUCCAGCAGAUGGCAGUAAAAUGCUUUUUCCAAGAAAA